UCUACGGGCGGCAGCAGUGGGGAAUAUUGGACAAUGGGCGAAAGCCUGAUCCAGCCAUGCCGCGUGUGUGAAGAAGGCCUUCGGGUUGUAAAGCACUUUCAGUGGGGAAGAAAGCCUUGGGGCUAAUACCCUCGAGGAAGGACAUCACCCACAGAAGAAGCACCGGCUAACUCCGUGCCAGCAGCCGCGGUAAUACGGAGGGUGCGAGCGUUAAUCGGAAUUACUGGGCGUAAAGCGCGCGUAGGCGGUCUGAUAAGCCGGUUGUGAAAGCCCCGGGCUCAACCUGGGAACGGCAUCCGGAACUGUCAGGCUAGAGUGCAGGAGAGGAAGGUAGAAUUCCCGGUGUAGCGGUGAAAUGCGUAGAGAUCGGGAGGAAUACCAGUGGCGAAGGCGGCCUUCUGGACUGACACUGACGCUGAGGUGCGAAAGCGUGGGUAGCAAACAGGAUUAGAUACCCGAGUAGUC
rnacentral:rRNA from 1 species